CUUGAUGAUGACUCCAGAUUAUGGAGCACCACAACAUGACCUUUAUUCAGAAUACUCAGGCACUUGACCUUUGAUAACAUGCCAAAGGAUACACAUAUCUCACACCAGUUCCUUCAUCGGCUGCUACCUGGAUGGUACUUGAAUGAAUGUGGUGCCAUUAGUGCACAUGAGAGCUAGAUGUAUUACCGAAAGACCACACACACACAUAACAUACAGUUCCAGAUUCACUAAAAUGCACUAAAAGUACAGUCAAUGUAUGUCAUAAAAAAAACAUCUGAAAAGGUACAUUUGUGGGGACACUUCAAUGUUGUACAAUUUAGGUGAAAAUGAAGCAUAUCAAUUUCGCAACAAACACAACAAUAAGAACCAUUAAUUCAUGGCAUCUUCAAAGAACAACGAUAUAUGAAACAUGUUUGCUAAAAUAAUGUAAAUACUGGCUUGUAAAAAAAAAUGAUUCUACAAAACUAUUAUAGUCCAGUCAAACCUCGAUUUAACGAAAUUUGCGAUCUAAUGAACUACGUAUUGUUAUUUCCCCAUCUUAGUUCUAUCGAAUUAACGAAACCUUGAUAUAAAUGAAGUUUCUUGCUGCAAGUGCAACUUCAUUAUAUCAAGGUUUGACUAUACAAACUAUGUGC
rnacentral:lncRNA from 1 species